rnacentral:tRNA from 1 species
CACGGGAUAGAGUAAUUUGGUCAACUCGUUAGGCUCAUGAUCUAAAAUUGUAGGUUCGAAUCCUACUCCCGUAA